rnacentral:rRNA from 1 species
GACGAACGCUGGCGGCGUGCUUAACACAUGCAAGUCGAACGGUGAACUCCGCUUGCGGGGGGAUCAGUGGCGAACGGGUGAGUAACACGUGGGCAACCUGCCCUCAGCUCUGGGAUAACUCCAAGAAAUUGGGGCUAAUACCGGAUAUGACUGCUGACCGCAUGGUCUGGUGGUGGAAAGAUUUAUCGGCUGGGGAUGGGCCCGCGGCCUAUCAGCUUGUUGGUGGGGUAGUGGCCUACCAAGGCGACGACGGGUAGCCGGCCUGAGAGGGUGACCGGCCACACUGGGACGGAGACACGGCCCAGACUCCUACGGGAGGCAGCAGGGGGGAAUAUUGCGCAAUGGGCGGAAGCCUGACGCAGCGACGCCGCGUGGGGGAUGACGGCCUUCGGGUUGUAAACCUCUUUCACCCAUGACGAAGCGAAAGUGACGGUAGUGGGAGAAGAAGCACCGGCCAACUACGUGCCAGCAGCCGCCGUAAGAC